CUUCCCCUACGGGGGGCAGCAGCGAGGAAUAUUGGUCAAUGGGCGCGAGCCUGAACCAGCCAAGUAGCGUGAAGGAUGACUGCCCUACGGGUUGUAAACUUCUUUUAUAAAGGAAUAAAGUGAGGCACGUGUGCCUUUUUGUAUGUACUUUAUGAAUAAGGAUCGGCUAACUCCGUGCCAGCAGCCGCGGUAAUACGGAGGAUCCGAGCGUUAUCCGGAUUUAUUGGGUUUAAAGGGCGCGUAGGCGGUUUGAUAAGUUAGAGGGGAAAUGUCGGGGCU
rnacentral:rRNA from 1 species